rnacentral:tRNA from 1 species
GCGGGUGUAGCUCAGCGGUAGAGCGUCAGCUUCCCAAGCUGAGGGUCGCGGGUUCAAUUCCCGUCACCCGCU